UACAGAGGGUGCGAGCGUUAAUCGGAAUUACUGGGCGUAAAGCGCACGUAGGUGGCGACGUAAGUCGGGUGUGAGAGCCCCGGGCUCAACCUGGGAAUUGCAUUCGAGACUGUGUUGCUGGAGUACGGAAGAGGAAGGCGGAAUUCCCGGUGUAGCGGUGAAAUUCGUAGAUAUCAGGAGGAACACCGGUGGCGAAGGCGGCUUUCUGGACGACAACUGACGCUGAGACGCGAAAGCGUGGGGAGCAAACAGG
rnacentral:rRNA from 1 species